rnacentral:rRNA from 1 species
GAUGAACGCUGGCGGCGUGCCUAAUACAUGCAAGUCGAGCGAACAGACGAGGAGCUUGCUCCUCUGACGUUAGCGGCGGACGGGUGAGUAACACGUGGAUAACCUACCUAUAAGACUGGGAUAACUUCGGGAAACCGGAGCUAAUACCGGAUAAUAUAUUGAACCGCAUGGUUCAAUAGUAAAAGACGGUUUUGCUGUCACUUAUAGAUGGAUCCGCGCCGCAUUAGCUAGUUGGUAAGGUAACGGCUUACCAAGGCAACGAUGCGUAGCCGACCUGAGAGGGGGAGAGGGCACGAGGGGAAGAGAACCCGGGCCAGGCCCGCAAGGGGGGCAGGAGGUGGGAAUUCUCCGGAAGGGGGCAAAAGUUUAAAGAGGCACGGCGCGGGAGGGAAGAAAGUUCUGGGAGUGGAAAACUCUUGUUGUUGGGAAAAAAAAAAGGGUAAGGAACCAAGGAGCGUUUGGCGGGAGCGUAAAAAAAAACCACCGGAAAACUAC